UAAUGACGGUACCUGAAGAAUAAGCACCGGCUAACUACGUGCCAGCAGCCGCGGUAAUACGUAGGGUGCAAGCGUUAAUCGGAAUUACUGGGCGUAAAGCGUGCGCAGGCGGUUUUGUAAGUUUGUCGUGAAAUCCCCGGGCUCAACCUGGGAAUGGCGAUGAAGACUGCAAGGCUAGAGUUUGGCAGAGGGGGGUAGAAUUCCACGUGUAGCAGUGAAAUGCGUAGAUAUGUGGAGGAACACCGAUGGCGAAGGCAGCCCCCUGGGUCAAAACUGACGCUCAUGCACGAAAGCGUGGGGAGCAAACAGGAUUAGAUACCCUGGUAGUCCACGCCCUAAACGAUGUCUACUAGUUGUCGGGUCUUAAUUGACUUGGUAACGCAGCUAACGCGUGAAGUAGACCGCCUGGGGAGUACGGUCGCAAGAUUAAAACUCAAAGGAAUUGACGGGGACCCGCACAAGCGGUGGAUGAUGUGGAUUAAUUCGAUGCAACGCGAAAAACCUUACCUACCCUUGACAUGGCUGGAAUCCCCGAGAGAUUGGGGAGUGCUCGAAAGGGAACCAGUACACAGGUGCUGCA
rnacentral:rRNA from 1 species